GGGUGGAGAGCCACGACCGGUUCGUCGGCGGCGAGAAACUCCCGGGCAAGGUGACCUUCGUCUCGGCGCAGGAGCAUACAGGCCCGGUGAGCGUCGGCCCGUCGGUGGACCGAGGAAGACCGUCGCGGAGCGGCGUCGACCGUUCGUCGUGUGUUGGCGUUCGACUCGGGGGGACUGGUUCCAGUGCCCUCGGACCGCGCCGGCGCAGCGGCGGGCGCGCACGGCGUCGCGCCUGGGGUCGGUGGCGAAACGGCCGGCAACCUGUCCGACCCGUCUUGAAACACGGACCAAGGAGUCUAACAUGUGCGCGAGUCGUUGGGCGCUACGAAACCCGAAGGCGCAAUGAAAGUGAAGGCCCGGUCUCCGGCCGGCCUGGGUGGGAUCCCGGCGGUCUCGGCCGUCGGGCGCACCACCGGCCCGUCUCGUUCGUUACGUCGAGGAGGCGGAGCAAGAGCGUACACGUUGGGACCCGAAAGAUGGUGAACUAUGCCCGAGUAGGACGAAGCCAGAGGAAACUCUGGUGGAGGUCCGCAGCGAUUCUGACGUGCAAAUCGAUCGUCAAACUUGGGUAUAGGGGCGAAAGACUAAUCGAACCAUCUAGUAGCUGGUUCCUGUCGAAGUUUCCCUCAGGAUAGCUGGCGCUCGUCGUGAGCAGUUUUAUCCGGUAAAGCGAAUGACUGGAGGCUUGGGA
rnacentral:rRNA from 1 species